AUGAACGCUGGCGGCGUGCCUAAUCCAUGCAAGUCGAGCGAACAGACGAGGAGCUUGCUCCUCUGACGUUAGCGGCGGACGGGUGAGUAACACGUGGAUAACCUACCUAUAAGACUGGAAUAACUUCGGGAAACCGGAGCUAAUACCGGAUAAUAUAUUGAACCGCAUGGUUCAAUAGUGAAAGACGGUUUUGCUGUCACUUAUAGAUGGAUCCGCGCCGCAUUAGCUAGUUGGUAAGGUAACGGCUUACCAAGGCAACGAUGCGUAGCCGACCUGAGAGGGUGAUCGGCCACACUGGAACUGAGACACGGUCCAGACUCCUACGGGAGGCAGCAGUAGGGAAUCUUCCGCAAUGGGCGAAAGCCUGACGGAGCAACGCCGCGUGAGUGAUGAAGGUCUUCGGAUCGUAAAACUCUGUUAUUAGGGAAGAACAAAUGUGUAAGUAACUAUGCACGUCUUGACGGUACCUAAUCAGAAAGCCACGGCUAACUACGUG
rnacentral:rRNA from 1 species